rnacentral:rRNA from 1 species
GAUGAACGCCGGCGGCGUGCCUAAUACAUGCAAGUCGAGCGAACAGACGAGGAGCUUGCUCCUCUGACGUUAGCGGCGGACGGGUGAGUAACACGUGGAUAACCUACCUAUAAGACUGGGAUAACUUCGGGAAACCGGAGCUAAUACCGGAUAAUAUAUUGAACCGCAUGGUUCAAUAGUGAAAGACGGUUUUGCUGUCACUUAUAGAUGGAUCCGCGCCGCAUUAGCUAGUUGGUAAGGUAACGGCUUACCAAGGCAACGAUGCGUAGCCGACCUGAGAGGGUGAUCGGCCACACUGGAACUGAGACACGGUCCAGACUCCUACGGGAGGCAGCAGUAGGGAAUCUUCCGCAAUGGGCGAAAGCCUGACGGAGCAACGCCGCGUGAGUGAUGAAGGUCUUCGGAUCGUAAAACUCUGUUAUUAGGGAAGAACAAAUGUGUAAGUAACUAUGCACGUCUUGACGGUACCUAAUCAGAAAGCCACGGCUAACUGCGUG